AGCAAGGUAAGCUAAAUUAAGCUUUUGGGCCCAUACCCCAAAAAUGUAGGUUAAAUCCCUUCCCUUACUA
rnacentral:tRNA from 2 species